rnacentral:rRNA from 1 species
UGGUUUGAUCCUGGCUCAGGAUGAACGUUGGCGAUGUGCCUAAGGUAUGCAAGUCGAACGAACCCACCGAAAUAAUUGAAGCUCUUCGGAGUUGAUUUAAUUUCAAUCGGGUUAGUGGCAAACGGGUGAGUAACGCGUAGGUAAUCUACCUCAAAGCCGGGAAUAGCCUUUCGAAAGGAAGAGUAAAACUCGAUGGUCCCAUUUCACGCAAGGUUUAUGGGUAAAACUCCGGUGCUUUGAGAGGAGCCUGCGUCCUAUCAGUUAGUUGGUGAGGUAAUGGCUUACCAAGACUAAGACGGGUAGCUGGCGUGAAAGCGCGAUCAGCCACAAUGGAACUGAGAACGGUCCAUACUCCUACGGGAGGCAGCAAUUAGGAAUCAUGCGCAAUGGGGGCAACCCUGACGCUGCGACAUCGCGUGGAGGACGRAGGUCUUCGGAUUGUAAACUCCUUUUAUAUGGGAAGAAUAAAUGACGGUACCAUAUGAAUAAGCACCUGCUAACUACGUGCCAGAAGCAUCGGUGAUGCGUAGGGUGCAAACGUUAUCCGGAAUUAUUKGGCGUAAAGAGAUGCGUAGGCGUCUUAGUAAGUCUUUUGUUAAAGACCACAGCCUAACUGUGGRAGAGCAUUGGAAACUKCUAGGRUUKAGACAGAGAGGGGUAAAGGGAAUUCUCGGUGGRGUGGUAAAAUACGUUGAUAUCRAGAGGAACACCAAAAGSCGAAGGCACUUUACUGGCUCUGUUCUGACSCUAAGGCYCGAAACCGUGGGUAGCAAAACGRAUUAGAUACCCGUGUAGYCCACCCCGUAAACGAUGGAUSCUAGCCGUUGGGCACAACCGUGUUUUAYCUUCGGAUUCUAUGUGGAAGUGUUCAGUGGCGCAGUUAACACGAUAAGCAUCCCSCCUGGGUAGUACGGCCGCAAGGCUAAAACUCAAAUGAAUUGGCGGGCUCCCGCACAAGCGGAGGAGCGCGUGGUUUAAUUCGAUGGUAAUCGAAGAACCUUACCAGGGCUUGAAAUAUACCUGCAAGCUUUCUGAAAAGAGAGCCGCCUAAGAGGGUGGUAUACAGGUGCUGCAUGGCCGUCGUCAGCUCGUGUCGUGAGAUGUAGGGUUAAGUCCCGUAACGAGCGCAACCCCUUUCCCAUGUUACAAGUGUCUUGGGAGACUGCAGCGGUAAAACGUUGAGGAAGGUGGGGAUGACGUCUGGUCCUCAUGGCCCUUAUGUCCUGGGCGACACACGCGCUACAAUGGUAGGUACAACGGGAAGCCAAACCGCAAGGUGGAGCAAAUCCUAAAAAACCUAUCCCAGUCCGGAUUGAGGUCUGCAACUCGACCUCAUGAAGUUGGAUUCGCUAGUAAUCGCAGAUCAGCCAUGCUGCGGUGAAUACGUUCUCGGGGGUUGCACACACCGCCCGUCAAGCCAUGGAAGCAGGUAGUACCCGAAGGUGCUCUGAAUUUAUUCGGGGUGACGAAGGUAAUGCUUGUAACUGGGGUUAAGYCGUAACAAGGUAGCCG